AAGGUAGAUAGGGUGUCUUCCUCCAUCUUGGAUUUUGAAAUACUAGAAAACAAGGUCUAGAUCUUUGAUGAAAUGUGCAAAUUUUUAUAAUAGUAGGUAAUUCAUGUGUAAGAAUUUUCAUUAUAAUAUAGAAAAUGCCAUGUUUGAUCAUAUUUAUGAUUGUAUUUUACAAAAAUAAGAAUCCUUUUGUUUGAUUCAUUUUUUUCCAACUUUGUCAAAUAAGGGGAGGCAACUCAAAUGCAAGGGCAGAUAAUCCAGAUAGUGUUACUUUUACAAUAGAAUGUGUUAGGAAUUUACCCAUUUUUACAUGUAGCAAGAAAACGAGUCCGGUGACCCCAUUUUUUCUUUUUCUUAUCUGAAAGCAUAAUAUUGAAGCUAUCUUCUCAUAUUUUAUCUCAAAAUUCUAUGGUAUAGUUUGCAUUUUAUGGCGGAAAAAUGGGUUUUCCAUGCAUAAUCUAUACAAAAUCUUGACAAUUUUGAACAACCUGUAGCGUGAAAAUAAGUCCGGUGACCCAUUCUUUUUAUUAAUGUUUUUAAACAAGCAGAUAUGAACUACAUUUUGGCAAAUUAUUAAAAGAUUCUAUGGAUUAUAAUUUAGACACCCCAUCUACCUUAAAUGAAUCCAUGUUAUUUAGCUUCUAUGGUAGCCUCUGGACUCAUAAAACACUACACAAAUGAGUCAUUUGAAAGGCGAGAGAUAGUAAAUUUUGAAUUGCUAUAAACAAAAAUAACUAUGCAAAAAAUUAUCAAACUAAGCUUUAAUACUAAUUCCUUUUUCUUUUUAUGCCCUUGCUGUAACAGAGGGAGCAUUAAGUUUUACCCUGGUUUGUCUGUACAUCGGUAAUUAUGUCUGUAUGUCUGGAAUGGGUAUCAGUUCUCUAACUUGGAGUUUGCUUCUUCUUUUUUUUUCAACUUUACAUACUUUAUUUCAGUAAUAGUUGUUAACAAGGCCCCUUAAUGUUACAACAAUGGCAUUAAGGUUCUUCCCUGUAUUGUUAAUUACCAAUAAAACCAGGGGAUUUCAUUGGCAAACUUUUUAUAAUUCUACAUAGUAUUAUGUGUUAGUUACAAUUUACAGAGUAAUAGCUGUCUACAACAUGAAUACAUUACUUUACUUUACAAUGAAAAAGAAAACGGAACUUUGACCGUCUUUUGUUUAGCUUUUAGUUUUGGAUUACACAAGGGAAAGUGAGAGAGCAAGGUUUCUGAUCGAAACAAGAGGUCAGUAUAAUUACGAUUGUUUUUAGGUAAUAUCUUAUCAUUCAAAUACACUGAACAUUGAAAUAAUAUACCAUAUCUGAUAGUUAAACAAAAGUUAAGGAGCAAUUUUGUUUAGCAAUUUUUCUUCUUUUUAUUUCAAUAAUAUUUUUGUGAUUCUAGUCUUGGAGUUUGCCUCAACUAAAUGUUUUGAAACUUAACAAAAUGUGCAUUGUAGUAAUAACCAUGAAACACAGAUCAAGUGUGAUUUUUGGUUAGAUCACUUUUUCUGCUCUAGAGUAAUUCCCUUUUACAAAUGGAAAAAUUGCUGAAUUUUUUUGUUUCCCUUCUUUGACUUACAGAUUGCCUCUCCCAAAUGUUAUGAAACUUAAACAAAAUGCUUGUACAUUUACAUGUAACCACAAAACACAUAUCAGGUGCAAAGGACAAAGUACGAUAAAGGCCCUUUUUUGCCCCCUACCCCUUUUUUUUCAUUUUUUAAAUUCUGAUUUGGAAAGCUACUUAUUAUGUUAAAAUAUUCUCUGAUGCUUGAAGUUUGUUUGGAUGAACUUCAAAACCACUAAUUUAAGCAACUGGAUGAGGUGAGGAGGUCAGUUUCUGUUUUAUUCAAAUAUUGUAAUUAUUAAUCUCUUUGCAGGUGUUUCGUACAACAAUUUUUUAAUUUUUAAGUGCCUGCGCCAACUUGACCCAGGAUUUUUUUUAUUCCAAUGUAAUUAGCACUAUUUUUCCU
rnacentral:lncRNA from 1 species